AGCAUCAAACUGGCUACAGUUGCUUCUCAUAAGGAACACAUAAAUCUGGAGCAAUGGCUGAAUGAAAAUCUGAGCAUAUACAAGGAUACUUUUUUCUAGGAUUGCCUCAAGUUCUUAAAAGAAAUACCUUCUGCAGCAACAAAUGAUGCAUCUGCCAAUCCUUUCCAACAUUCCAACUCUGUCAUGAAUCUUUAUCUAGAGACAAGUUCUACUCUUUUGAAGGUUUUUCAAGCCCAUUCUGGCCAGCUCAUCUCCCACCAACUUUCUGAGGAAUUGAGAGGGUUGCAGGCAUCAUCUGUACAUGCUAAUCCAAGACUGCAAAAUGGUGGGGCUACAGAUUUAUCAACACAUGAUGCAUCAUAUCUGAUUAUUCACUGGCCUCUUCAGAUCAACAGAAAAUAAUCUUUUUUAGCAUCUUUGUCCAAACAUAGUUCAAAAUGUAUGAUUAUUCACUGGCCCUUCACUCACUGCUGAAGUGUAUGUUUGUUAAGUCACACUCUUUGUCAUGCAGAACAUUGCGAACCUUGCUGGGAACAAAGCUCUAGUUCUGCCUGUGCCUGCAUUUAACAUCAUCAAUGGGGGAUCACAUGGUUUCACUAUCAACCUGAAUUUUGCGAACCUUGCUGGGAA